CUAUGUUGAUGUAUGACAUAUGUUGGUGCAGACAAAGAACAGGAGAAAGUAAUUUCUGAAGAUUGGUUACAUCAAUGUAAUAACCUGAGUGUGCUUACAGGACACAGAUGCAGCAGGAACUAGGAAUAAUGGAAAUCAAGGGCAUCAUAAACAGUCUGUAAGAGGCAAUGACUUCUUAGGAUGUCAGCUUCUUGGACUCAGCAAAGUGAAACUGGAAUCUCCUAAAGGCUCAUCCUGACAGUCAGACCAGAUGGACCAUACCAGCUCCAACAAAGAGUACAAAAUAAUCUGAAAUUCUUAGUAAGUAAAAGAAAAAAAAAAGUACUGACAGACAGAAUUGCUCUAGAGAAAGGAGAAAAAAUGAGAAAUAAACUACAUAUGAAAGGAUGAAAUCCAGAAGAAAA